GACGAACGCUGGCGGCGUGCCUAAUACAUGCAAGUCGAACGCACUCUCGUUUAGAUUGAAGGAGCUUGCUCCUGAUUGAUAAACAUUUGAGUGAGUGGCGGACGGGUGAGUAACACGGCGGGUAACCUGCCCUAAAGUGGGGGAUAACAUUUGGAAACAGAUGCUAAUACCGCAUAAAAACCUAAACACCGCAAUGGUGUAGGGUUGAAAGAUGGUUUCGGCUAUCACUUUAGGAUGGGACCCGCGGUGCAUUAGUUAGUUGGUGAGGUAAAGGCUCACCAAGACCGUGAUGCAUAGCCGACCUGAGAGGGUAAUCGGCCACACUGGGACUGAGACACGGCCCAGACUCCUACGGGAGGCAGCAGUAGGGAAUCUUCCACAAUAGGACGAAAGGUCUGAUGGAGCAACGCCGCGUGAGUGAAGAAGGUUUUCGGAUCGUAAAACUCUAGUUGUUGGAGAAGAAUGUAUCUGAUAGUAACUGAUCAGGUAGUGACGGUAU
rnacentral:rRNA from 1 species